GUAAUUCAAAAGCAGCCAAUCGGAGUUCUCGGUGGACUUCAAACUAGCCAAUCGGAUGGUAGGGCGGUUAGGAGCGGGAGCAUGGCGUCUGUCCGAGUGUUGUCUUUAAAGACACUACUGAAAAAGACACUUCAUGAUGUUCAGUGCUACAGUCUUACUCUCUAGCAUUCCUAUACCCAGGCUUUGUUGCCAUGGUGAAAGCAUGUGGUUUCCUGGCGUUGCCAUGGGGAUUUCCUCUCUGAACAUUUCUUCAGCAAUCGUACACUUGUCUCUUUCUCAAUCACUCUGCCUUUUUUCUUUCCCUGUGAUUGGUGGUCUCCCCUGGUGAGGAUCCUGGGUGAUAGUUGGCGUGACUGUGUGAAGGACAGUUGAUGAGUCUUGAUUCCCUUCAAAUGAGGAUGAACGUUUUUUUUAGAGUGACCUUGAGCAAGCGUGGCCUCGUUGGCUUUAAGUCUCCUCUCACAUUUGGACACAGUUUUGCACAAAUGAGAGUACACAUUGAGCAGAAAUGAUCAGCUAUAGCUGAUUAUAAUGGGCAUAUUAUGGCACCCACUCUCUCUCCACCCCCACAUGCACAUGCAGUUUCUUGUGCUUGCGUUUAUGUGAUAUAAUGUGCCCUCAUUAUGGCAGCGGUCUUAUUAAAUAGCAUCUGGGUUAAACAACAUGAGAUGUGAUGUGUAAUCUCUCUACCGCUAUUUCCUAUUAAAUCGGAAGCGAAAAAAAUAUUCAGAAAUAUCCUGUGGCAUUCACCCCACAGCUGAGUUUGGUAAAUAUUUUAACACCCUUAAAAUAAGAAAAUAUGUGUUAUGUGUAAUAUGACAUUUAAAUUUUGUGAAAAAUUAAUUUAUAUUUAUUAGCCUUAGCCACAAAUAAUCAGCAUGAUGUUUUUUUUUCCUACAGAUGUUUUACGUGGUUGUACAAAUUACAAAAAUUGUGCUGUAAUUACUCAUUUUAUCUAAUUUAUGCAUUUAGCAGUUGCUUUUUUCUGCCUUUAAGGUCUUGUUCUAAAUAAUAGUCUGUCAUGUCAGGAUGUCGAAAGCCGUUCCCUAAAAAAAAAAAAAAAAAAAAUCUUUUAUUUUGUCUUUUUUUACUGGAAAAUAUUUACACAUUCUGAAAACAAGAAAAAAAAGUUUUCCUUACCCCAUUAACAUUUUUGUCCUCAUAAGCAUUAAUUAAACAAAAAUGUUAUGCUUGCUAAAAAUUUUAAGCUAAAAUUUUAUUUUUUAAAGCAUUUUAUGCUUGAAACAAGAAAACUCUGCCAAAGGAGUAAGAAAAAAUAUUUUCAAAUUUCAAGAUAUAUUCUCUAUUUCUCUAUAAUAAGUCGCAUUGAAAGAAAC